rnacentral:rRNA from 1 species
AGAGGCCCAAGUUGACAAAUUUCGGCAUAAAAAGUGAUUAAUAUAUGUUUUUACUAAAGUCAAACAUCUUCAAAGCUGUCAUAUGCUCCCGAAGACAGGAGACCCUUCAACGAAAGUGACUUUAAACACUAUUACCUCACGAAAGCUAGGACACAAACUGGGAUUAGAUACCCCACUAUGCCUGGCCUUAAACACAAGCAAUAAAGUACAUCUUUGCUUGCCAGGGGACUACGAGCCCCAGCUUAAAACCCAAAGGACUUGGCGGUGCUUUAGACCCACCUAGAGGAGCCUGUUCUAAAACCGAUAACCCCCGUUAAACCUCACCUUCUCUUGUUAUUCCCGCCUAUAUACCGCCGUCGUCAGCUUACCCUAUGAAGGCCCAAUAGUGAGCACAAUUGGCACAGCCCAAAACGCCAGGUCGAGGUGUAGCGCACGAGAAGGGAAGAAAUGGGCUACAUUCACUGCCCCAGUGAACACGAACAAUGCCCUGAAACAGACAUUCAAAGGAGGAUUUAGCAGUAAGGAGGGAAAAGAGUGCCCUCCUGAAACCGGCCCUGAAGCGCGCACACACCGCCCGUCACUCUCCCCAAAUAAAAACAAGCACAUAAAUAAUUAACAAACAAAAUAAAGGGGAGGCAAGUCGUAACAUGGUAAGUGUACCGGAAGGUGCACUUGGAAAAAUCAGAACGUAGCUAAAAA